rnacentral:rRNA from 1 species
UACGUAGGUGGCGAGCGUUGUCCGGAUUUACUGGGCGUAAAGAGCGCGCAGGCGGUCGUACAAGUCCCGUUUGAAAGCCCCCGGCUCAACUGGGGAGGGUCACGCGAUACUGUUCGACUCGAAGGCAGGAGAGGGAAGUGGAAUUCCCGGUGUAGUGGUGAAAUGCGUAGAUAUCGGGAGGAACACCAGUGGCGAAGGCGACUUCCUGGCCUGUUCUUGACGCUGAGGCGCGAAAGCUAGGGUAGCAAACGGG